AUGAUCCGAGGUGGUCAGCAACUCUCCUUCAAGAGCUCACUACAACCCAUUAAGAAAAUGCGCUGGAGGGAGGAUGGCAAAUCUGGUAAAGAUGAUAUGUUAGGGCAGUUAGAGGUAUGUAGAUCCUUCAGAUUGGAGAAGCACUUCAGAGUUGUUGGCAGGGAAAUCAUUUGGCAAUUAAAGAAGCACAGGAUCUUGACAAAAGUGAUAUAUGCAGAUUCUUCUAAUGAAAUGAACGGUUCCUUGCAUCCUUCAAAACAGAGGUAUGGUGGAAUUGUGAAAUCUUCAGCCGCAAGCAUUUUGUUGAGUAUAACAGAACUGCUAACAUAG
rnacentral:rRNA from 1 species